GGAAAUUGUUGUGCCAAUCGAAUCUGCUGUAAUUAAACUUCCACAUGCUACAAAAUAGAAGAAAAUUAUUCAGGGGUUCUGCAAAACAAGCUCUUAUUUCAAAAGACUAACGGCAGAGAAGUCACAUUGCUCUGAGUUGGCAGGGUGUUGCCAGGGUGUGUUUUAUCACAAAGGGAUCACAUGAUUAUAUGGACUAUGAGCACCAAGGGACUAUCAAUAGUAUCGAAUAAUCACCUUAUUAAGAUCAUUCGGGGAGACUGAAGAAGCAGGCUGAUGAUGUUUACCUGAGAACUCUGUAUCAGCAGUACCACACCCCUAUCUUCUUGGUAUCAUUGGUAUCAUGGCGCUCCUACAGGAGUACCUGGGCUGGUGCAGCGAACAGGAGCACCAGCCCGGGGUCUCAGGUAAGCAUUUCUAAUCACUGAG